rnacentral:lncRNA from 1 species
UUGAAAUAUUUUCCUUUAGUAUUCUAUUUUCUAUUUGUAUGUUAGGAUUGAUUUGUUCCUUCUGAUUUUCUCUAAGUUCUUCUAAUUUUCUAUUAUGAGCAAUUUCCAUGUUUUUGAUUAUCUCUUUUAAUGUCUCAUUUUCAGUUUUAUAUUCAUCCAUUUCUUUGGAAAUUUUGGUUACUUCUUCCUGAAGCUGAUCAUAUUUUUUUAUUUAGACUUAAGCUAUCAUAAAAUAAAUUAUCAAACAGAUGUUCAGUUUUUUGACAAGAAGAACAAGUUUCAUCAUUUACCUCUUGUGUUUCUGAUCUUGUCAUAAGGCAUACGUUUGCUUCUUGUUUCUCUUCUUCUUCUGGGAGUUCAUCUAAUUCAUCCCAGGUUGCCAUCAUUGAUUUCUUUGCAAAAGGUUUUUUGAGUUUUGGACAAUCACUUUUGUAGUGUCCAAAUUGAUUGC